ACGUCCCCUUCGGGGGCAGAGUGACAGGUGGUGCAUGGUUGUCGUCAGCUCGUGUCGUGAGAUGUUGGGUUAAGUCCCGCAACGAGCGCAACCCUUGAUCUUAGUUGCCAGCAUUCAGUUGGGCACUCUAAGGUGACUGCCGGUGACAAACCGGAGGAAGGUGGGGAUGACGUCAAAUCAUCAUGCCCCUUAUGACCUGGGCUACACACGUGCUACAAUGGACAGAACAAAGGGCAGCGAAACCGCGAGGUUAAGCCAAUCCCACAAAUCUGUUCUCAGUUCGGAUCGCAGUCUGCAACUCGACUGCGUGAAGCUGGAAUCGCUAGUAAUCGCGGAUCAGCAUGCCGCGGUGAAUACGUUCCCGGGUCUUGUACACACCG
rnacentral:rRNA from 1 species